ensembl:misc_RNA 7SK 7SK RNA
GGAUGGGCGUGAGAACUGGGAUGACAUCUGUCACCCCAUGGAUUCCUGGGGUUGAUUCGGCUGAUCUGGCUGGCUAGACAGAUGUCUCCUUCCUCCUUCAGUGCUCCAUGUGUGUCCCUCCCCAAGCUGCGCACUCAACGAGGAAGAUCUUCCCUGAUAGAGGAGGACUGUUCUUUGGUCAAGGGUUUACAAGUAGCUGUGCCCACCAGCUAGAACCUCUGAACAGGCUCCAAGGAAAAGUGGAGGACAAGUGUAGGAGUCAGGAGCCCAGUCAAGAGUCCACUGUAGGCAGGCAGGCCAGACCU